GAAGGCUCAGGCCCAGGAGGGGGCGGCAGAAGCCAUCUGCGUGUCCAGAAGUAGAGGACCGGGUGCAGGGACUGGAGCAUCCAAACAUUUUGUUACCUGUGGAGUCCUGGAGCUAAUCCCUCACAGAUACAGAGGGACAACUCUAUAUGCCUUUUGCCUUUGAGGCUGGGGUCAUCCUGUGAAUGAGUACCAAGUUACACAGAAAAUAAUUCAUGCAAUAGAAAUGAGAAAGAAGAACCGUUUAUGGGCUGCAGUUCUCAGAGCCAGCUUCAUGGAAGAGGUAGGAUUUCGGCUGAGUGGAAUUCACCUUGGCAGACAGGAAUGGGAAGGGCCCACGUGGAAGGGUUUUUCAUGAGCAAAGACAUGAGCAGGAAUGAUAAGCUGCGUUCUGGGUACAAGCAGGGGUUUGAUGGCAAGCAGAGGGAGGAAAGGGCGUGGGGAACAAGUGUCUUCUGUAAGGUAGUAGGGAGCCACUGAAGGUACUUGGGCAAGACAGUAACAUGACAACUGCAUGUUGGUAAAGCUAACCUAAGAAUAAUUUUUAGAAUGGAUGAGAUGCAGGAAGACCAAGAGGUAGGAAAAACAGAGAGGAAGGUAAUGAAAUUGUCAGAUCUCUUUUCAAACAUAGAUUUCAUCUUGUAAUAUAACAGAUAACAGUAUACAACUAAGCAAGAUAAUAAAUACACACCUCGUGGUGCAUAAAAAAGAAUCUAAGCCUUCCAAUAGUUUACUGUGAGAACUACAACACUGAAUGGUAUUUCUGUUUAUUACUUUGCCAGGCUCAACACAGUCUUUGAAGUGCUCUAAUAGGAUAGUACUUAUCACU